UAGAUGUCCUGCCCAUCUCUGCUUUCAGUGACGUCAUGGCGCACGCCGGUGCAUUCUGAUGACGAAGACACAGGAAUACGAAAAGGAUUCCAUCAAUAAGCCAUGAACUCUGCUCCAUCAUCACUGGGGCUUCUGUCUGGAUACAAUUCCUCCAGCUCUGAUGAUGAAGAUGAAGCAGCUGACAAUACAUCUUGCUCUCAAAACUGAAUUUGACUCAGCAGAGAUCACAUGCCUCUUC